AACCACUUUCUGGGAACACAGUUUAACAGGCGUGACGACUUGAUUUGUAUUCAGGUGCUAAAUGUUUGGCGAGAUAAAAGCUAACCGUGUACGCGUUUAUUAUUGAAAUGCAAAGACUUCAUUGUUUUGAAAGUGGCAUAAAUUUUUACCGCCAAGACAGUUAGAGUUGGUUUUUAUUCGUGAAUGCGUAGCGCCAAACUGGCGAAAGUAUUUCAGUUGCUGUGAUAGAUAGUUCGUGAAGUUGUGUUUUACGCUAGAUGAUAAAAUAUUAGCGCUGUGUUUCGGAUUUUUGUUUCCUUCAGUCACGUUUUUUAGCAGCAUGGGAAUAUAUCGGUAACUUAAACAUGGCAGCAGGGAUUCUGCACAAUUCCACGGGCAUUGAAGAUGCGUCAUUGAUCAAAGAAGAAAGUAUUGUGCAGAGUUUCUACAUUGAAGGACUGAUUGGCAUUAUUAUUUGUGGCUCCGUAGUAUUAGCUGUAAUAUGUGUGCUUUUGUACUAUAUUGUUCCAUGGCAAAAGUCAUCGUAGAUUGCUGACUUCUUCAUCAAAGUUAUUAUAUAUUUUUAAGAUUUUGACCAUUGUUCUUGCAUUGUAUAGAACGUAGCUUGGUUCAAGUGUAGCCAAAUGUAAGAUUUUGUUUAGUUUUUUUUACGUUAUUUGUAAUAAAAAUGUAGUUGUUUAAAAAGAAA